GAUGAACGCUGGCGGCGUGCCUAAUACAUGCAAGUCGAGCGAACAGACGAGGAGCUUGCUCCUCUGACGUUAGCGGCGGACGGGUGAGUAACACGUGGAUAACCUACCUAUAAGACUGGGAUAACUUCGGGAAACCGGAGCUAAUACCGGAUAAUAUAUUGAACCGCAUGGUUCAAUAGUGAAAGACGGUUUUGCUGUCACUUAUAGAUGGAUCCGCGCCGCAUUAGCUAGUUGGUAAGGUAACGGCUUACCAAGGCAACGAUGCGUAGCCGACCUGAGAGGGUGAUCGGCCACACUGGAACUUAGACACGGUCCAGACUCCUACGGGAGGCAGCAGUAGGGAAUCUUCCGCAAUGGGCGAAAGCCUGACGGAGCAACGCCGCGUGAGUGAUGAAGGUCUUCGGAUCGUAAAACUCUGUUAUUAGGGAAGAACAAAUGUGUAAGUAACUAUGCACGUCUUGACGGUACCUAAUCAGAAAGCCACGGCUAACUACGUG
rnacentral:rRNA from 1 species